GGGAGCUCCAUCGCCGGCAGCCCCCGAGGAGGGCGGGGCGCGGCGCGCCCGCACCGCUCCGCGCCUGCACUGGAGGCGGCCCCGCCCACGCGCCCCGGCCCCGCCCCGCCCGCGGCGGAUUGCCGGCAGCCCGCAGCCGGAACGCGGACACGUCGCUUCGCAGCACCGCCGCCCCGAGCCCGUCCGCAGGAGCGGCCCCGAGCGACGCAGUGACCCCGAGCUCCGCAGUGGGUCCGACCGCGGGACUCUGCCGACCGCGGCCCCGCAGCGCUGUCCCGGAACGGAGGGGCGGCCCCAGACCCGGGGAGCGGAGCGUUACGAGUGCGGCUGCGCAGAAUCAUCGCCGUGUGGCAGUGCUCCGCAGCGCGUGGGACGCGGCCUGAGCCACUCGGGGCUGCAGGAGGACGAAGCCCCGGCCCUGCGCUACCGCUAACCUGCUAUCCGCUACUACAUGACAACAUCUGACUGUAUCCUCGCCGUUCCCUCUGAAAACUUACAUAUCAGGGUUAGCAGAAACGUCAUAGAUAGAAAUACAACAGUACUUCAUAAACAUAAAGCAAACAGGGAGGCACCUGACUGAUGGCCUGCAAGGACGGACCAGAUGGAGGAGCCAGCAUAGGAAAUCCUCUUCACCCAGAACAUUUUGGGAGAUAGGAAUGUCACAUAUUUAGAAGAACACAUUCUCAGGAUCAUCCCUUUCUGUUUAUAAAUAUUUCUAAAUAAAAUAAUUUUAAAGACACUUUUGCAUUCUAAAUCUGUUCCUGUCAGUCUGUGGUUUUCUGCACACAGUGGUGCAUAAGUUGCUUCAGAAAAACAAAACCAGAUUCAAGAAAGGUGCUUAAAUUUAUGCAUUUUUUUUUUUUUAAGUAAGCUUCUUUUGCAUUACCUACAUUUUGCAGAAAAUACUCAGUUUCACUGCUGUGUGAGGAUGAUUCUCUCUCAGUCACUGCGAGGACAGCAUCCCGUAUUUCUGAAAGCCAAUUCAAUAGCACGAACCAAUGCAUUUUCAGGAUGAAGUGAACCGUUUGCAUACAGGUGUUCUGAGAAGCCAGAGCUCCCUCUACCGACUGAGACUGCAGGAAGGACACUUGUCCUGCAUACAGAAAAAGGUACGGAGGCACUGUCAGUAAUUACUCAUCCACAUCUGUACCAAAUCAUCUGAAGUACUGUUUCCUGUUAAACCUUUCCACAUAUGAAGAUCACUAAAAAAUUCUGACAUAAAGAUGUCAUCCUCAUCUAAUAAGUGUCAAAUAGCAACACAGAAAUAACCAAAAGUACAGAAAAAAUUAACAACUGACAGAAAAUAGGAACCUGCUUCGCUCUUCUCACUGUUAUGGCAUUCCAGGUCAACGGAUGCAGCUUCUCCAAUUAAAAUUUCUUUGCUUCACUCACAAACACUGCUAAUUCAAACCUCCUUGCCCACCUCACUGGACAUCGUUCUGCUCUGGUGAGGGCAUCUGUCCUGCACACCUUCAGUGCUGACAGAAAUUGGGGCACUCCAGAAGUAACAUCUCCUAUUUAUUUCCACAGAAACUACAGCAGCUACAAAGAGCACAGAGCGCUGUUGGAUAGAGCACACGCUCAGAUACAGGACACUAUUUUCCAACAUAGUCAUCAUCAUUAGUUGUGCAUUUCAGCUCAUGCUGAAAAAGAGAUUGCAUGCCAUGCUCGUGACUGCAGGCACUGCUGGCACACAGCACCCAUCCCUCACUGUGCUCACAGUGGUCCCCAAACAUGUUCAGUGUCAAUGAACGCACACGAGAUGCUCCUGGCUGCACAGCACCGAUCAGCAUGGGCUGAGGAAAAGGGUCAGAAGCUACUAAGUGUGCAUAUAACAUCUUUACUGGCAUUACUCAUUUUUAUAUUCUGCAACAGACCUGAACUAAUAACAGUUACUCUCUUCAGACGUCAAUUAUACUAAAAUUAAUUUCUUCGCUCUUCCGUAUUUCAGUGCCCUUCCACUUUGCCCAUAAAGAAGACUUUGAGCACAAGGUCACUCCAGUGCUUCACAAAGGUGACAGCCACCAGGCAGGGAAAGGCAGUGCCUGGCACAACAUGGUCAUCCAAAGCAAUUAAGCAACUGAAGAUCAAUUUCUGUGCCUGUAAAACAACCCUCAGCCUACUCUUGACCCAUCACUCUGCAAUUACACCACUACACAAUCUGCUGUUAUCUUAUCUUGUUGCAAGAUGCAAACAAUGCAACCCUAUCCCUGCACAAAGCACCAACACUGUGUUGUGGCCCUUCUGCUGGAGCAGGAGAGCAGUGGUCACUGUGGCAGGGGCUCGAGCUGUGCUAGCACACACUGCACACAGCUACUGAAUUGUGUCUUCUGGAAGUUCAGAGCUGUAGCUCCAGCUAUUUGCAGCAUUACCUUUGAGAUUUCCUGAGACUGAAGUGAGCCUGAUGCCCUUACACACCAACCCACCCAGAUUUCUGUGGUACAUCACUGCUGAGUAUGCAAUAUGCUCCUAUUCACAGUGAAGAAAAGGUCCUACUCUUCAUUACAAACCACGCCAACUCCGCACAAUCUGUGCUGUUUUAAUGUGAUUCGGCUGCAGGUGCUGCAAGUUGAUAUCAAUAUAUUAUUUCCAGAAGGGCUCAUGACUAACCUCAUCUGUUUAUAUGACAAAAAUUAUUUUUAAUGUAAAAGUGGUGCUUCAGGGAUAAAACUACAAAAUGUUUUAUGUAGAAUCUGUUAUGGUAAAAUUCCAGAAACAUUUACCAUCUACAGGCAUUGAAUGCGAGAACAAAUGUUACUGGGUGCUGCAGAGAAUACUGCUUAUUAUUUUGUGAGAUGUGUGACAGCUUAAGCAGUCUUUUACAGACAGCCCAAAUAAUGCUUCCACGUGGUGUUAAUGAUACACAAAGUUGCUGCAUCAUUACAGGCAGCUGUCCCAGCAACCAUUAAUAUGUCACCAGAGUGCCUAUUUAGAAAGGGUCAUUAGAAAGUACCUAAGAAAAGCAGGUUACUGAUAGUAGCCUUUAUGUGACGCUCACGAUGUCAGUACUGCCGCAGGAAAAUACUGAGGAGUCCACAAAGUACAGAUUAGCAAUUGUUACACAACCGAAGCACAUGCAGCCUUUGUUUUUAAAUAGAUAGUAACAGAAUAUAGAUUUAAGUUGGCAACCAAUAGCUAAAGAUACUUAAAAUAUUUAUGAGAGCUGAUCACUGAAAAUGAAAACAGGGUGAGAACACAGCAGAGCUGAAGUGCACAGAGCCUCAGAAAGCUGCUCUGGGGGAUCUCAGCAGAGGGGUCUCUGCUCAGUGCUGGCACAGACAAACUUUGAGUUGCUCUGCUUUUUAAGGUACUUGAUCUUGUAUCUUCAGCAUUUCCUCUGUUAAAAUCUGUCCAAAGCUCAGUGAUCUCAAUAUGUGACAGUCUCAACUCCGUACCACAGAAUCAUGGACUGGCAGAGGCAGGCAGGGUCCUCCACCAGGGCUGUACAGCCCCACAUCCAGGCUGGAGACCCCCAAGGAGAGAGAGCCCUCCGCUGUGGGUGGCGGGACUGCCCACACCGCCAUAUUUAGAGGGUCCCUCCAGUGCUGCACUUUCUGCCCACUGCCAUCUACACUUGCUCCUGGGCACUGCAGAAAAGCCUGGCUCCGUGCUCCCUGCAGCCCACCUUUGGGAACUGACGCUGGUAAGGUUCCAACACAGAGAGCAACCUCCCACCAAAGUACAGCUGCUACUUCUGUAGCUCUGGAACUUUAACACUGUUUUGCUUGUUCAUGUCCUGUAACUCCUUACCCCACAAAAAGCUCCGUGAAAGCCAGGAAGUCUCACACCACCACUUCUAAGCCACCAAAGUCCUAAUUUCACAGCUCAGUGGGCUGCUUUUAAAGAAAAAAAAAGGCUUUAUGCAAAAAUAUUUAAAUGUACACUGUUAGAAAUACAGCAUCAAAGGAAGUAUCUCCACAAAACUUUAAUUACUGCAUUAUUUUCCAUGCUGUGAGUCUUUUUUUUUUUUUUUAAACAGAGCCUGACAACACGAAGUAGGAUUUUCUUAUUACACAUGGAAACACAUGUAAAUGAGGUGUUAGGACAAAUCUGAUUUGUGGUUUUGGGAUAGCACUUCGCCCUUCUAUUUCAACAGAAACUGAAGAGAACAGACAAGAGAACAAUACUGUGAGCUAAAAAUAUGCUGCAUGCAGAGCAUUAUUCAGAAUUCACUUCCCCUUACGCCACAAGCACCGUGUCCUUAACUCCCACUUGGAACACAGGACUUCAGCAUCACACAGGAUUGGACCCCCCAGUACUCGUUAUUCUGGAGAACCAUACAAACAUGGGUUAAUGCUCACAACAUCAAUAUAAGCCCUGACUGUUCUCAGGGGAUUAGCAAAACGAACAAGAAAUAAAGACUCUUCUCUCCAUAACUUUGCAGCAUCCACAUACAAAGCAUGGGGAGAUAAACAAUACAAAGCAUGGGGAGAUAAACAAUACAAAGCAACCAAACAAAAACCCCUCCUGGGUUAAGGAAGCAAUAUUUUGAAGAGAUUAACCUCCUAAACUUCCUGGAAACAUAUUUAGUGUGGGGGUCAUGAUGAGGUUAUAAGCACAAAAAAGGAAGUGUAGAUGCAGAUCAUCAGGAGGCAGAUGAAAGCUGACCCACCGCACAAAGCAGACAUGCUGGAGGAAGAGAAGGUUCUAAGAAAGGAAGAAUGAGGCCUAACAAGAAGUCUUGGGUUCUCUGGAUCUGGAGCGACACACAGGACUUAAACUGCAGAUACAAAAACUAUAAAAUGGUUUCCAGUACAAGAACAAAGAUCAGCUCAUACAGUUAUAACAAAGAGUUCGGGGGGAAAACGUGGAGAUGAGGUAGGGACACUGUAGUAGGAAUAUCAGCUGCGAAAGGCAGUGAUUAGGGGAACGGGGCUGAUAGCAGAAAAUACUGCCAUGUCAGAUAAGGGGUUUUUUUGUUUGUUUCUUUUUCUGCUAAGGACUUUGAUGCAGAACUCACACGUAUGGGGCAGGUAUGAGAAACUUCUUCCCUACAAGAGGACCCUGAAGAGCAUGCCCAGGAAUGCAGGUUCUGCCAUCUGCUUCAGGUCUGAGGAGUCUCACCUUCUAACAACUGCCCCAUGACAGCACAGUCUCAGUUUCUAAGUACAAAUGGACGUCUCAUUAAAAAAAAAAAACUUAUUUUUCAACUUCUGCCACUUACCUCAUUAGCACAGCCAUACUGAUGAAGGUAAGUUGGCUUUUUUUCCCCCCCCUUCCUCCAAACUAUCGCAGGUACAGCACCUGGUGUUAAAAAUUAAGUAAAAUGGUAGGCCCAAAUGUACAACAAAAUGAAUCAAGAACAUUAUGCUCAGAACACCAUUUCUGUAGGCAGAGGAGAGCAUAUACUUAAACCACGGUGCAGGGUAACUUCACACAGAAGGAUGAAGCGUGAAGCGUUGGGCUUGACUCUGCAAAUAUGGAAGGUAUGGAAGUAGUCUGAAUGUGUUUAACAGCUCUUAAGCUUCAGUAGUAAACUCCAGGCAGAAGCACUUGGGCUGCUCUCCAUCUAUGCUUCACAAAUAUAUUCGCAACAGGUGAAGCUCCUGCCACGCGAAUGAGCACUGACAACUUCAGAGCAGCCUGCAAAAGCUUUUACAUGCACAUAACAAAAUAUAAUUGAAAGCUAAUUUCUCAGCAAGCCAUGUCCACUGACUUUGUCUUUACACGUACCAAAAUCUUUUGCAGUCAUGGGCAAAUUUUAGGCUUAAUAACCACAGACGCUAUGCAGCAUUACUUCGAAGCUACGGAAUACUGCAGCAAAAGAAUGCAUUGCCCCUUAUUUCAAUAUGCAAUUUGCAACAUUGCAGUAAGGAAACCACUACAAGAAAAUAAAACGCCCAUUAGUUCUUCUAGAUGACAACAUCUAAACAUUGGAAAGAAAAGAAAAAGAGAAGGGAAAGCAGAGCAGGAAUUUCUGCUAGAGGAGCAGCACCGAGCACGGUGCAGGGAUGAGUGCUCAGGCAACAGGCAGGGCUCAGAGCGGCCCUGAACAGACUGCCACCGUGCAUCUGACUGGGGCAGAAGAGCUCCACAACAAAGGGCAGCCACCGACUACAGAGCGCAACAGGCAGUGGGUGCUGGAAAUUCAGCUGAGGACAGAAGACAUUCAGCAGAAAAAGAGAGAAUAACAUUGCUUGACUGCAAUUCUCACAUUACACAUUUUUUGUCACUUAAAUCACAGUAUUUUCACUGAAUACGUUGCUUCUUUGUCCUUGUGAGUUGUACAGUCCCUACAGAACAGAUACGUUCACAACAGAUGGAUGCUGCAACUCAGUAUUUUUCAGAUCACACUUGGACUUCUGAAAUUUUAAAGAAUUUCAAAGCAAAGAAUGCCAGCCUGCUGACGUUCACAUUUCUUCACUGUCAUCCAACAAACACCAACAUCAAGAAAGUGAAAUUGGUGGUGCUUUAUUUUUAAAACAUUUUUUUGAAAGACUGAGAUCACAAAGAAGGUAACUCAGCAUAGUCAUGAGGAAGUUGACGUGAAAUGAGAUCAAGGACAGAUCUGCUACAUACACAAUCGAUACAGAUGAUCUCCCAGCUGGAAAAUUUCUACUGCCAUGGACACUCAUGAUGGACAUCCAUGGAAAAUAAAACCGAGCAACUCUGAAGCUCUAUACUGCUCACAGGCUCCAACAGGCAUGGCUUUCAUUUCAGCACCUUUCUAAGGUACGAGAUGUUGUAUGGCACCAAUGCCUACGAUAGGAACCACAGACACAGCUCCAUACUGCCAGUAUGGUUUCCUUGGUCAUUUACAGCCAGUAAGUAAGUAAAAACAAUUUUCACCAAUUCUUGCUUGUUUUGGUAUUUUCCACACUGCAGAAAGCCACUGUUUGGAAUCCACAGCAGUUUUUGGUUUUCUUUACUAUCUUCAGAACAUCUGUUUCCAUCAUCAUCCUUAGGCAAGAACCAGAUGUUCCUCCAGACACUAUUCAGCUUUCAUCAGUCAUAGCUGGAGCUAGUUAAAUGCAGAUUGACAACUUACACACACAUCCAUCUUUUGUAAAGUUAUGAGACAAUUUCAGGACUAGGGUGGAUAAAUGAUGUAUUUGAGAUGAUUCACCCCAUAGCCUUUUAGUUUAAAAAAAAAAAAUGGCACCACACAGAAGCACAACUGCAGAAUGCCACAUAGGUGAGCACUGGGUAACCCAGUUGCAUUUGAAAUUGAACGCUGUUAAAUAGCCAGAUGAAGACUGAUAUUUACCUUGUAAUUUUACAUGUGUAAGUAAGUGCAAAAUCAGAAUGAGUACUGUCUCAGGUUGAGUCUGUGUUCAAGCAUGUCAACUCUGAAGUAAACUGAAUCUUGCAUGACUAGAGGCCUUUGCUGUUAACUUACUAAGGAAAAGCUCAUGACUGAGCACUGCCAUUGCUUUGGCCAUGGCUUUUAGUUGGUUCUGUUAAAAAAAAACAUUCUUGCUCUCAUUUUAAGUCUUUUUUUUUAAUUAUUUAUUUCCUGCUCACUCUUCCCCCAUUCUACAUGGGCCUACACAGAUACUAAAAUUACUAAAACAUCAAAAUUCAGAGACAUAUCAACAAAUGCUCUCGGCACUCCUGAAGGGUUUGUUAGGAUUUUAUCUCAAAGUCCACCUAUAUUUUUCAGGAUGUUAGGAAGCAAUCCCAAAAUUAGAGCACUGGGAGAGGUCGUCUCAGGUUAAGGGCGAGGUAGCAAAUCUGAAAGCAGCAGAUACACUUUGGAUGGUGAGAUAAAGAGGGCCUAUGCUGAAGUGCAUCAACUUCAUUUCCAUGGCCUUCUUCAGCCUCGUGACAAAGGGUUCUUACACGGCACGCAGAUAUCACAGAGAUGCAAGUGCCACUACAAAAGGAAAAUGUGAGCACUUUCAGAACAGCCUCUCUUCUACACAUAUGCAGAGGACAUUGCAGCUGCCACUUUCUUGCAAUACUGCUCUGUAAGUAACUAAGCUAUGUUUAAAAAUCAAGUAUAUCAGAUUUAAAUGAGCUAAGGUCUUAACCUGACAAACCAAAGACAGGCUGCCAUGCUUCAUAACUUAAGUUGCUGGAUUUGGAUACAAACUUAGAGAAUUGGCUUUCCUCAAAGUUGACCUGAAACAAAGGUCAUGAAUGCAAUCACAAUGAAAAAGCUUGCAAGGAAAUAAACCUGAAACUAGUACAAGAGCUCUUUUUGAUAUGGUUCAGCAACCAAGUUAACCAGUUCUAGGAGAGCAUCCACUUUUCCCAAAUACAUUACUAUUUCUAUUCUUUUAAUUGCUGUCAGAACAGAAAUCUCAAAUAAAGGUAGACCCUCAAUGCUCCUUCCAAGAGGAAUAUUCAUGCAACUAAUAGAUCACAAUGAUAAACCACAAUUUGAAGAUCUCGAAAGCACUUCAAUUAAAUGGAUCUGGGAAAGAAGAAAGAUUAAGACAAAUACUACUACUUGAUAUCAUCAGUAAACCAAUACACAUAGCUUUGCAAGAACAAGUCACAGAACAGAGGCUGUCAUUUUGGCAAAGGCCCAUUUCAGCAUAGUAGUAGGGCUGAUUGAAAUCAAAUUUAGCCAACCUGGCCUUGCGGCUUGGUUACCUACUGCAGCCACCAUUCGCAGAGCCUCUCAACAACCUAAACGCUCUACUGCUCCAUUCGCUCAAACUGGAAUUCCUCACUUUUACAAAACACAAAAUAAAAUAUGAAGGGAAUAAAAAAAGCCAUAUCCGUAAAUACAAGUUUUUGUUGCAGGAAAUAGCUGCUAACAAGGACUACUCUAGCUGCUGCUCUUCCCAUCAUUUCUUGCUUGUCUGCGAUGCACCAUCUGACCAACUUAACAUGCUGCAGAAGUAGUCCUUACUUCAGUAAUCAAAUAAAAUAAGCCACUUGCCACGUGAGAAAAUAACUAAUGCUUUAGUUAUUUUCCUUUAAGUUCCAUCCUUUAAGUUCUUUGCUUCAUCACACACACAAAAAAUUUUGAACACAGUAGCAUUAGCGUUUGCUGUAAGAAACUUCCUUUUAAAAACAAGAUUCAGAAGUCUUAAGGAAACACACAAGGAGAUGAUAAAUACCAAAGGUAAAUCUGAGUAACUUACUGCUGCUGUGGCCUCCUCUCCACCUACACAGACAGAAGCAGCAAUCUCCAUCACGGACAAGUUCGUGGGAGCAUCUGUAGUGGACGACGAUCUGGGACGACCUGAUUGCAUAUCUUGGGCAGACCUCCUGUUGAUCUGCGGACUUCCUUUGGGAGGGUCCGUCUUGCCCCGCCUGCUGUGCAGGCUCGUCCCUCUCUUCAUUUUAGGUGGCACUCUGAUCUGCUGAAGCACUCGGUUCAGAGCUGUAGGGUGGGUGGAGACACCAUCAAUUUCAGCACAGGUGCUUUGGCUUUCCAAAUCCAUGUCAGACUCCAGAUCAGCCUGAACUUGCUGAACAUCAUGUGGAGAAACUGAUGACCUCCUGCGCUGAUGCUGGAAAAGGUGCUUCAAGCCUUGACCAAUCACAUUAAUGUUCUCCAAAGCAUUAUGGGUUAUUUUGGAUAAUUUUUGCUCUGAUUCAUGUUGUUUUUUGGUCUCUUGAUCUUGGGAUUUGCCUCCAGGAUCAGGGUCAUCGCACAACUGUUCACUGCCAGAGGGCUCCAUUGAUGACACCCCACAGGUUAAUUUGACUAUUCGUACAUAAACAUGUCCCCUGUCUUUAAAAGGCUUGUGUUUGUUUUAAAAAUGCCAAGAUUGUCAGCCAAUUAGGUGUACAAUUGCUUCAAGAGUGACUACACAUGCAGCUGUGCCACGGUGAUCUCAUGCUUAUCUAAUGUUAAACAAAAGAGCCGUUAUUACACACCCAUGCAGAAACUAGUGGGUUAAAAAAAACAAUGUACAAAACAUGCCAUUAACAAAACAAAUUUAGCAGUUUUCCAAGCAUCCCUCAAUCCUGGUUUUAGUUGCAUGUAAGGCUGUGUGCAGAAGCCAAAGCUUGUAUGAUACAAUUCAUUUAUUGCCUAGGGGAAGAAGCAUAGCACAAAGUGAAGCAAGAAAGGCUUUUUUCUUUUAAACAAAAAGUCUACAAAAGUGGGGAAGGAAGAAAGGAAAAACAAGGGGUUUUUUUUGUUGUUAUUAAGAACAAAGCCCACAGUAGUAUCUAACAGAACAUGAAGUUACACUUCCAUAGAACAUGUUAGACUUUUUGGCAGAAUUAAUUUUGUUCCUUACCAAAGGAACAUGUUUCAAUCAUAAUGUCUGUCCUGCCUACCUGAUUUUCCUGAAGAACGCUCAACCCCACAGUAUUUGAUAAAUGCAAGACAGAACAUUUCCAAAUCAGUUAACCAUUUAACUCCAAGCAGUAAGAAAUGUCUUAUUACUGCCAGCAUCUAUUGAUUGCACUGGAAACUAGACAAGAAAGUCAAGCAAGGAGAGGCAAGUGAAAUGGUUUCAGCGGGCAUGGUCUUGUCCAUAGUUCUCAGAGAAAACAGGAACUCCUUUUUAAAAGAUGAAGGAACCCAUCUGAACAGGCAGAGAGCGCAGCACCAGGGCAUGUAGCUCAGCCUCUACAGCAGGGAAAACAUACAGGUUUCCUCCAGGAGACAUCAACCUCCUCCUCACAACCUCCCCUCCUCACAUCAGCAGAGCUCAGAAAGCAGUUGGUUACACUACGGUGCAACUGAGAACUUAUGUAACAACACACUGUUGGAGAAGUACAGCAAGGAAUGAGGAAGGAAGGAAGGAUACAAUAUCCAAGUUCCACAUUAGCACCAUGAGAUCACAUGCUCAGAAGCUGAUGGCUGUUUUCUUGCAGGAAAACAUUUUCAGGCUUCUAUAAAAAUGCAGAAACCAGAUCACAGAAGUCUAUCUCAAUCUUGGCAGAAGGCAGCCCAUGCUUUAAAAACCAUUUCAUUUGAAAUGCAAUGUAUGUUUGGGAUUUGAGAGCACCUGUUUGUAUUUUGAAACAGCUGCAGCAAUGCAGCGCACUGAGCUUACACCUGCAGAGCUCUCAAUUUUGUACUUCUGAAACCCAGCACAGUGGGUUAGAACAGAUGUUCCAAGACGCUUUCUAAACUGGCAUCCAAAAACAUCCAAGAGCUGCCUUACACUCCUUUCUGUUUUUUUUCUUUGUUUCCCCAAACGUCACUGCAUUAAACUGGAGGUGAGAUGAUAUUCAGUACUUACGGAAGCAAACCACUGGAAUCUUACAGUAUUUUAGCUGAGUACUUUGGAACCACAUUAAAAGCACCGAGUUAAAAUAUAUUUAUCAUUUUAAUCAAUAACCCAUUUAAAGGCAAAUCAACGAGCCUCACCCCAGAAAAAAAAAAUUACCCACAUUCACAGAGGAAUUGUGGCAGAAUCAAAAGAUACAACAACCAAUCUUCUAUUUUUACAUACAUAACACUUUAAGUGAUUAGUAUCAUAGUUGGAUUUUUAAGCUCUACUUUUCUUAACAUUACUUCUACUUUUUUCUAAUGUAACUGUUUCUCAUGAAGUUGAACCACGUGUCCCUGUUUAUUCGUUUUGAGAAAAAAAGGCAAAACUAGAUUUUUCUCAUAACCCAGCAGACAGAACAGUUAAGUGAACAAAACUCAAUGGCUAAAAAACAGGAGUCCCAGAAUUACUUGCCGAAUGAAAUACAGCCUCGACAGCUGACCUAUAACUGCCUUUUCCAUUUUAGCUAACUCCCUUGACAUUCAUUUUUCAGUUUGGUCUUACAGAAGAGCUGUAGUUCAGAACAGAGAUGUCCAAUGUAUUCCUCACCUAUCAUUUUUACUAUCUACCGCACACUUUCUGUGCAGAUUACCACUGGCAAUACUGUUAACCUAAAACAGUAUCACCUCUGUCUAACUGAGUUCCAUGCAUUCAUUAGCUGCUGGAAAUCAUCAACUGCUCCAAUUAGCUCUGUUUCAAUUUACAAACUCACCUGAAACAAAUGAGCCCAAUUAGUUCACAAACACGUCACUGCCAUGCUUGUGUGUUCUGUGAAUGAUUGCUGACAUUACACUGACUUAUAACUCAAAAUGCUCCUAUAGCAGCUUUGUGGUCAUCUGCUCACAUUUCUGUUUGGUGAAUUUGUUGUGAGUCUGAACAAAGCUUUUCAAACAGCAUUUCUGGUACAAAGAUCCUUAGGAAUACUUAUUUGUACUAGAUACUAGCUUUACAGAGAAAAACAUUUGCUUUACUCAAAUGAGAAGAACUGUGAAUCAGCAGAAUAAAUUAGCACAUCUAUUUGCAAUAACAUUCAAGUUUCAUGCUUGCUUUUGACUCGUAACAACCCUUAUGUUCUCUAUUUGAGGAAGGAAAAGCUGUGCCUUCAGGAUGAAGCUCAGGAACACACAUUUCUCAUUUGUAUGAGAAUACAGUACAUCAGGGACAAAGUUAGUAGUUCUAUAUCCACAGUCACACUGAGCAGAUCAUAUAACAUGAUUCCCUCCCGGAACAUGCCCAUACAGUCUCUCAUUUGUGCAGUUAUUUCACAGCAGCAGUGGGAAACAAAGCAGUUGAAAAGGCGAAACUGGUAAAAACAGUAUGAGAUAACUAUGAAUAUAUAAACUAAUACUUGCCUCCAUCACUUGCCCUUUAGCAUGGCUGACAUACAGCAGUCCCUCCACUGAACAAAACUGCAAAAAGAAAUUGGAUAUGAGAUGCAAUUCUUGAAAAUGGGAGGAAAGAUGUACACAAACAAUAAAGUGAG
rnacentral:lncRNA from 1 species